ensembl:snoRNA
UCAAGCCAGUGAUGAUACAAGUUAUCCCUGUCUGAAAAAUAAUUUUGUUGAGUUCUGGUAACCUGAGGCUUGG